rnacentral:rRNA from 1 species
AUACGGAGGGUGCAAGCGUUACUCGGAAUCACUGGGCGUAAAGCGCGCGCAGGCGGCUAUUUAAGUUGGAUGUGAAAGCCUACGGCUCAACCGUAGAACUGCAUCCAAAACUAUUUAGCUAGAGUGUGGGAGAGGAAGAUGGAAUUAGUUGUGUAGGGGUAAAAUCCGUAGAGAUAACUAGGAAUACCAAAAGCGAAGGCAAUCUUCUGGAACACUACUGACGCUGAGGCGCGAAGGCGUGGGGAGCAAACAGGAUUAGAUACCCUAGUAGUCC